GACGAACGCUGGCGGCGUGCUUAACACAUGCAAGUCGAACGGAAAGACCCUGCUUUUGCUGGGUGCUCGAUUGGCGAACGGGUGUGUGACACGCGUGUAUCCUGCCCUUGACUUUGUGAUAACUUCAGGAAACUGCGGCUAAUACCGGAUAGGAGCUCCUGAUGCGUGGGGGGGGAUGGAAAGUGUCGGCGGUGGGGGCUGGACUCGAGGGUUACGAGCUGGAUGGUGGGGUAGUUGCUUACCAAGCGUGUGACGGGUAGCCGGCCUGAGAGGGUGACCGGCCACAAUGGGACUGAGAGACGGAGCAGAAUGCUACGGGAGGCAGUAGGCGGGAAUAUUGCACAACGGGGGCACGUCUGAGACAGAGGCGUUGCGAGCGUGAUGAUCGCUUUUGGGGUGUAAACCGCUUUGUACUGUAAUGAGGCGUGAGUGACGGUAAUUGGUAAAAAAGCCACGGCUAACUACGUG
rnacentral:rRNA from 1 species